CGGAGGUAGGGUCCAGCGGCUG
rnacentral:snRNA from 1 species